UGAUGUUUGCCAGUGACUACCAAAGAUGUGACUCCAAGGUCUCACUUAUGAAAACAUCAGCUCUCCUCAAGGCAACAGAGGCACACAUUGACAUCAAACCACUGACAUGACACCAAAUCAGACUGGACUCUUGGAACGGGCCAUCACAUAGUCCUGGUCUCGUCUGAGAAAGGCCAGUCACAGUUGUGCUGUCUGUAUGUGAAGCCUGGGCUGCCAACAGGGACAGACAACAGGGAGCUGCAAGGUUGAACUUUGCAUGCAGCAGAUGUUUAGCCAGUGACAGAAAUUAAGUGCUUUCAGUGUGGAAGUACACUGAUGCUGAACCUCAUCAGCCUGCUGCAAAUACAUUGAUAUUCACGCAGUGACUCCAGAGCUGCAUUCCUGAGGAGGGUGAGACUAAAGCCAGCAGAUAAUUCUUCAAGAGUUGUUUCUGCAGCAGCCCAUAUAGGGACCCAUCUUUGGAGCUGGGACAAGCUAAAAAAAAUAUGUGCAGAAAGCACUGUUGUGGAAAACUUUGGACCAUGCAGUUGGGUUGUGCUGUCUUACUGGGGGAGAUCUGUGUGCCCCUUCUUUUUGUGCCCUGGAAGAAUCUGGACUUUCUCAAAAGGAAAAAGUAUUUCACAGUGGUUCUUCAAGGUGACUUAACAAUGUUGGGAUGAAUUAACUGAUGUGAAUAUUGCUGAAAAAUCACUGGCAGUAGGAU